CCCUGUUGAACCAAGAGAGCCAACUCGUUCCAUGUCUGAGUCUGCAAAAAUCAGUUGAAGAGCUCAAAAACCGAGUUAAGAUGGCUGGAUAGAACAAGAAAGACUUCUGCUAUUAAAGAAACGAAAAGUACACAGAGUUCCACUUCAGCCUGAGUAUUAUAUCUGAUCGGACGUGAUCUGCUGUGAGCGCGUGAUGAUUUAGACGUGCGCGAUUGAGACCUGUAAGCUUCUUUCAGUUAUUACAGAGAACUUUAAACACCAAAACCGAACCAAUUUUUUUGCACAAACUGGAAUGUAGAACGGGACAGCAGACGGGACAGCAGACGGGACAGGAGAUGGGACAGGAGAUGGGACAGGAGAUGGGACAGGAGACGGGACUGGAAUGUAGAACAGUACAACAGACGGGACAGCAGGGGACAGGAGACGGGACAGGAGACGGGACAGGAGACGGGACUGGAAUGUAGAACAGUAUAGCAGACGGGACAGCAGACAGGACACGAGACAGGACAGGAGACAGGACACAGAACGUCCUUUUGGUUAUUUUAAAGCCUGUGAGAUGCAAGUUCUGCUUUCUACUCGUGUCAAAAUCCCCUAAAUUGUACUUUUUUUCAAAAUGUUUUUCACCUUCACUUAUGCGCACCAUGCUAAUAGUAGGUAUACUAAUUCCAAAAAAAAACCCAGAAGAAAGUACAGCGUCCGAUGGGUUUUCCAGACCCGCACGUAAGCUCAGGAAUAACCCUAUUUCCAGGUAAAAUGAGAAAAAUUUGAGUUUAAAAAAAAAAAUGCAACUCUGAUAAAGCACUCAAAGCUAAGAGCGAUCCUCUGAACAGUUCUGCGUAAUUAAAGAUUAGUUAAGCCAUCAAGUGUCAAUCAUUGACGUGACCGAGGUGUCGCUUCUGUAUAGUAUGGCUGUGGAGGUCGUUACAGCGCCCAAUGGAGCGUGACACCAGCACAGAGUGUUAGAUAAUUAUUAGACAACCUAUUAAAAAAAAAAAAAAGGAAGAGAAGAGAAGGAUCUCGGAAGAGAAAAAAAAACAAUUCAACUAGCUCUCAUUUUUGAAAAAUGUCUUGACAUCGUUGAAAAAGUUGGGACAGUAUGGAAAAUGCAAAAAGAAUACAAACAAACAAAAAGACUCGUUUGAAAAUUCAGUUCGCCUGGAAGUGGUUUUCAGAGAUUUGACCGAAUUCCUUCCACUUUAUUACACAUAACUUUUAUUUUUGGACUUUAACGUUGUGAAUUCUUUAUAUUCCCAGAUUUCUUGAGUUAACACUGAUGUCUGGUGAGAAUUUCAUGUGAAUAGCCUCAUUAGAAAUAUAUAUAUAUAUAUAUUUACUGAAACAAACGUUGACGCGUCCAACGCGUAUUUCCCCCGCUGUACGGGAUCAUGAGAGUUGCAAAUCAUUGCGUGCCGUUUUUAUUGACAUUUUACACAGCGUCCCAACUCUUUUGGAAUUGGGGACGGCAUAAACAGUAGAAAAAUCGAUAUUUCUUUUAGAACAGUGGGAAAAAAACCCAACAACUGAUAAUAUGUCGAUCUCUGAGCAGUUUAACUAAUGAACUGCGCCUAACCCUCGGCGGUAUAAACUGAAACUCAUUACAACAUUACCUUUAAUGGCUACAUACUGUUAGUUUGGAUUUAUUUCAUCACUGCUUGUUGCCUAGAAAUGCAUUUUAAAGUCAUAUAAAAAUACAUUUGAAAAAAAUGUACAGUACCAGAAUUCUAUAUAGUGGAAAUAUUGGAAGUCGGUGCUAUAACGGUGAAUCAUUGUCUUUAUAAAGAAAAAACUAGUUCCAAACUUUAAGUUUAUGGUGGUUUUCUUUUACAAAUGUAAAUGAUCACAAUUGGUUUUUUUCGUACUUUUUACAUUACAAUGCAUGUAUUACUACAAAUAUAUAAAUCACUGAUUUUUUAAAUUUAUUAAUGGC
ensembl:lncRNA